UACGUAGGGUGCGAGCGUUGUCCGGAAUUAUUGGGCGUAAAGAGCUUGUAGGCGGUCUGUCGCGUCUGCUGUGAAAAUCCGGGGCUCAACCCCGGACUUGCAGUGGGUACGGGCAGACUAGAGUGUGGUAGGGGAGACUGGAAUUCCUGGUGUAGCGGUGGAAUGCGCAGAUAUCAGGAGGAACACCGAUGGCGAAGGCAGGUCUCUGGGCCACUACUGACGCUGAGACGCGAAAGCGUGGGGAGCGAACGGG
rnacentral:rRNA from 1 species